ACUCAAAUGAAUUGACGGGGACCCGCACAAGCGGUGGAGCGUGUUGUUUAAUUCGACGAUAAACGAAGAACCUUACCAAGGUUUGACAUCCUACCAAUCUUUCCGAAAGGAGAGAGUGCCUUCGGGCCGUAGAGACAGGUGUUGCAUGGCCGUCGUCAGCUCGUGUCGUGAGAUGUUUGGUUAAGUCCAUCAACGAGCGCAACCCUUAUGGUUAGUUGGAUUUUUCUAGCCAGACUGCCCCGGUAACGGGGAGGAAGGAGGGGACGAUGUCAGGUCAGUAUUACCCUUACACCUUGGGCUACAAACACGCUACAAUGGCCGGUACAAAGGGCAGCUAAGUCGCGAGACGGAGCUAAUCUCAUCAAAGCCGGUCUCAGUUCGGAUUGUAGGCUGAAACUCGCCUGCAUGAAGCUGGAAUCGCUAGUAACGGUAGGUCAGCUAUACUACCGUGAAUACGUUCCCGGGUCUUGCACACACCGCCCGU
rnacentral:rRNA from 1 species